UACGUAGGGGGCAAGCGUUGUCCGGAUUUAUUGGGCGUAAAGAGCGUGUAGGCGGCCAUACAGGUCAGCUGUGGAAAACUCGAGGCUCAACCUCGAGACGUCGGUUGAAACCGUAUGGCUAGAGUCCGGAAGAGGAGAGUGGAAUUCCCGGUGUAGCGGUGAAAUGCGCAGAUAUCGGGAAGAACACCCGUGGCGAAGGCGGCUCUCUGGGACGGUACUGACGCUGAGACGCGAAAGCGUGGGGAGCGAACAGG
rnacentral:rRNA from 1 species